rnacentral:rRNA from 1 species
CCUACGGGCGGCAGCAGUGGGGAAUAUUGGACAAUGGGCGAAAGCCUGAUCCAGCCAUGCCGCGUGUGUGAAGAAGGCCUUCGGGUUGUAAGGCACUUUCAGUGGGGAAGAAAGCCUUGGGGCUAAUACCCUCGAGGAAGGACAUCACCCACAGAAGAAGCACCGGCUAACUCCGUGCCAGCAGCCGCGGUAAUACGGAGGGUGCGAGCGUUAAUCGGAAUUACUGGGCGUAAAGCGCGCGUAGGCGGUCUGAUAAGCCGGUUGUGGAAGCCCCGGGCUCAACCUGGGAACGGCAUCCGGAACUGUCAGGCUAGAGUGCAGGAGAGGAAGGUAGAAUUCCCGGUGUAGCGGUGAAAUGCGUAGAGAUCGGGAGGAAUACCAGUGGCGAAGGCGGCCUUCUGGACUGACACUGACGCUGAGGUGCGAAAGCGUGGGUAGCAAACAGGAUUAGAUACCCGUGUAGUC